GUUUUCUUCUUUAGCUAAGCUUAGUACUUAAGCUGCAAAACUGCUGCUUCUCCACCUCUUUUUCUCCGGCGAAACCGAUGUUUUAGGUGGACUCUCUUGGAUAUACUUUUGAUAUUUUUGAAGUCCCUACUUCUUCAUAGCUGCAUUCAGUCGUUCGGCUUUUCCUCGGUGAAUAAGGAGGACAAGGAACAUUUCAGGAACUUAGUGCUUAUACCAUGACCAUAUGUACCAAUAUACAAGAAACAGAAUUAUGUGGUACGAAAGAAGUUUUCUUGUCUGCUAUCCGCUUUGCCACUUCAACCGGUGAUUCUUUCCCUCCAUUUGAAGAUGAUUUAAGAACCUCAGCCCAAGAACAGGUUGAGUUCAUGCUCGAGGAUGAUGAAAAGAUUCCUCUUGUCAUAGCUGAUGAAGAAAUAAAAGUGGAGACUAGAAUUUUGGUGUCUAAAAUAUUUUGUUCUUUUGAAAAUGAACUAUUCUCCUUGAUUUUGGAACCUGACAUUGCGAACAAGGAUAUUGAAAAGAAAGUAAUGCGGAGUCUAUCUGACCUUGAAUGGAUGUGUAACACUCUUUUGAAGAUGGAUCUAAUGAAGGACUUCGUCUCCCACUGGGCUAAUAUAUCGAGCAAUUUAUUGAAGGUCAUCGAAGACAAAAGACUUGAUUCUAUCAUGUGGGGUUUGAAGAUAAAGUUAAUAGAAAUGACAUCAAAAGUGUUCGACGCAGUAGGUUAUGGAACUGUAGUUCUUCCAGCAGAAAGCCGAGUGGAACUGCUCAAGACAUGGCUUCCAUACAUAAGAAAAAUGAAGUUUCUUUCCGAUCAAAUGGGCAAAUCGGAGGCUGCAUUUCCAUACAUGAUGAGCGAAGACCUUUCCCAAUGCAUUGAGGGAGCAAUAGUUUCGUUGGUUUCAGCAUUACCAUCAAAUGAUCAAGCUGACAUUCUAGCAGAUUGGAUAAGUGCUGAGCAAGUUAAAUAUCCGGACCUUAGUGAAGCCUUUGAGAUAUGGUGUUACAGAACCAAGUCUGCAAAAAGAAGGUUGGACGAGGCUUUGACAGAGUCAGCAAUGCCAUUGUCACCCUCUAGCUAAUUUUUGAAGAGGAAACUUCACCUCAUAAAACACCUUUGGCUACUGGUGGCUCUUGUAGUAGAGUGCCCAACAUAUUCCCUGGGCAAAAGAAUCUAGGUGAAGGCCUUGCAUGAAGUAUUUGUCUAUCAUGCACUUCCAAAGAGGGCUUUAUUCUGGAAGAGAAUGCUGGCAUAGAUCACACCAAAGUCGCAUCUAUGCUAUUGUGAUUUAUCAAGAGCCAUGUCCCGUUCAUGAUCUAAGUCAACUAUCAGAUUUUUGUGCUUGAUAACUUUCCCAAGAUUGAGAUUGUUCCACAAAAUAUAUCUAUAAUCCUUUCUAUUUGCGAUUUAGAAGUUGAUGCAAAUUUCUAGAAUAUCACUGAACUAUAUUUAAGCAGAUGAUGAAGAACAACAUGGAUGCGAAGGCUUGAAAUUUAGCAAGACGCUGAGGCAGAGAGCUGAAACUAAGAUUUAUAAGCCUAAAGCAGUGAUAAAAGAUGAUCUUUUUAAGACCUUUAGCCUUGUGACACAGAAACGUGCCACUCCAGGAAGAGAAAGAAAAGACCUUCUGGAGAAAGGAAAAAUUUGGAUGGGCCAAGUGGAGAUGGAUUUCUACAAUUUGGCAAGUCUAUUGAUAGACACUCCGAGAUAGAUGGCCAAAGUAUUCAUGGAGAUCAAGAACCUUUGAACAGAUCCUGCAAUGUUAGAUUUUGAUACUAGGGAUAUUGAGAAUGAUGAUUCAGUUGUUGAAGCUAGUUGUUGAAGCUAUUAAUAACUUUGUUUACGAGAUCCAAUGUGCUGAUAACUUCCCAUGCUGCUGGACUUUUUUUGGAGGGUGCUAACUCAUCAAAAAAGCUUGGUUCAUCAUCCGUGUCUUUCAAGGCUCUCCAGCCAAAAGUUUUCUCAUAUUUCUUCAACUUCCACUCUUGCAAAUGUUGUUUCACAAUUAUCUCAUCUGUUUUUUAUCCAAACUAUGCUGCUUGUAUUUGUGGUGUGUGUCAAAGAAGAUUUGAGAAGAAUUAGAGAUAUAAUAGGUGCAAAAAUAUUCAGUUCUUUCGGGAGAGACAUAACAAGCUUCUCCAGGCAAAAGGUACUCCGUUGACGAUUUUAAGGAUUAAACACAAAAGUUGUAAAACAGUUCAGCCACUCUUUCAGGAAAAACAUUGCACGAAGCGGAAAUAUUCAAUGUGUUCUACGAAAGUUAUAUAUUUCCUUUAAUGUAACUUUGUAAAGGUUUAAAGGACUUCCUGAGGAAGGAUGCCAUCUGUUCAAUUCUUCAAGAAACAAGCCUUCAAGUACCUAGCAGUAAAAGUGGACCCGCACUGAAAGUAGUAAAAGUCCAGAGUUGAUGUGAAACAAGAUUUCCACCCAUAACAGUUGAAGAAAUAGGGGUCAAGCUUUUGCCUGGAGAGGCUUGUUAUGCCUUCCCUAUAAGGACGAUUGAACGUUUUUGCACUUAUUAUGUCUCUAAUUCUUCUCAAAUCUUCUGCUAUAUACUUGCAAUGGAUAUUAGUGGCAUACUUUGGAUAAGAAGCAGAGGAGAGGACAGAGAAAUAGAAUUUGCAAGAUUGGCAAUUAAAAAAAUAUGGUAAAACUAUUGUCUGGAGAGCCUUGGAAGGCACUGAUGAUGCUUUGAGGAGUUUACAUCCUCUGAAGAUGUCCAGCCGCACAUGAAGUUAUCAUUAGUUUGGAUCUCGUAAAUGAGGUUAUUAACAACUUCAACAACUGGAUCAUCAUUCUCAACAUUCCUAGAAUCAAAGCCUAUUCUUGAUCUUUCUAAGGUUCUUGAUCCCAAACUUUUCCAUCCAUCUCGGAGUGUCUACUAAUAGACUUGCCAGCUUGUAGAAAUUCAUUUCCAGUUGGAUCAUCCAAAAUAUUCUUUUCUUUUGAGAGGUCUUUCUUGCUCUUUCUGGAGUUGCACAUUUUAGUUUCCAGGGCCAAAGGUCUUAACAAGCUUAUCGACAAUCAGUACUUCAAGCUUAUAAAAGAUUAGUUUCAAUUCUCUGCUUCAGCGUCUUGUUAUAUUUUAAACCUUCAUAUCCAUGUUAUAUUAGGGCCAAAGGUCUUAACAAGCUUAUCGACAAACAGCUUUUUCAGAGGUGCAUGACAACAUAAAAUACUGCUUGCAUAGAUUUUGCCUGAAUUUUUCUGCCUUUAAAUGUAAAAGUGGAUGUUGUUAUUUGAGUUCAAAGACAUUUAGUAUUGAAAAGUUGACAUAUUUUUCUGUUUCUUUUUGUAUCUUGACUAGCAAUUGUAAAACAAGCACAAUUUUCUGAAUUUAAUCAAAUGUUACCUGA